GCCAGAGGGGGCAACCGUUGUCCGGAGUUACUGGGCGUAAAGGGCGCGGAGGCGGUCUGCGGCGGCGGCGCUGAAAGCGCCCCGCUUAACGGCGCGAGGCGUGCCGAUACGCGCAGAGUUGAGGCGAGCAGAGGGUGGUGGAAUUCCGGGUGGAGCGGUGAAAUGCGUAGAGAUCCGGAGGAACGCCAGUGGGGAAGCCGGCCACCUGGGCUCGUCCUGACGCUGCGGCGCGCCCGCGUGGGGAGGAAACCGG
rnacentral:rRNA from 1 species